ensembl:lncRNA novel transcript
CACAUACAGAGAAGAGUAAGAAAUUCAUGCCACUGCUUAUUAUAAAGUAGACAAUGCAGUGUGCAAAACUCAGAUUGCAAGGAUGCUUGAACUGCCCACUAUCUAUAGGAGAGUUUAUGACCAGCCUUUCCGUAGUUCAGCCUUAGACAAAGAAGCAGCACU